UACGGAGGGGGCUAGCGUUGUUCGGAAUUACUGGGCGUAAAGCGCGCGUAGGCGGACCUGCAAGUCGGGGGUGAAAGCCCGAGGCUCAACCUCGGAACUGCCUUCGAUACUGCGGGUCUCGAGUCCGAGAGAGGUGAGUGGAAUUCCUAGUGUAGAGGUGAAAUUCGUAGAUAUUAGGAAGAACACCAGUGGCGAAGGCGGCUCACUGGCUCGGUACUGACGCUGAGGCGCGAAAGCGUGGGGGGCAAGCAGG
rnacentral:rRNA from 1 species